rnacentral:rRNA from 1 species
UACGAAGGGUGCAAACGUUGCUCGGAAUUAUUGGGCGUAAAGCGCACGUAGGCGGUCCUGCAAGUCGGGUGUGAAAGCCCUCGGCUCAACCGAGGAAGUGCAUCCGAAACUGCAGAACUUGAGUAGUGAAGAGGGUCUCGGAAUUCCCGGUGUAGAGGUGAAAUUCGUAGAUAUCGGGAGGAACACCAGUGGCGAAGGCGGAGACCUGGGCACAUACUGACGCUGAGGUGCGAAAGCGUGGGGAGCAAACAGG